AUCUGAUGAUGAGGGCAUUGAAUGCACAAUUGCUCAAAUCUUUCUCAACACUCAGAGAGUCUCCCCCCAUGAGAUUGUUGAAUCCUACAUAUUUCUUUUUUUAUGUU
rfam:Populus trichocarpa isolate Nisqually-1 chromosome 14, whole genome shotgun sequence.